rnacentral:rRNA from 1 species
CGCGUAGGCGGAUCUUCAAGUCGGAUGUGAAAACUUGCAGCUUAACUGCAAGCCUGCAUUCGAUACUGAAGGUCUUGAGUACAGUAGAGGAAAGCGGAAUUCCAGGUGUAGCGGUGAGAUGCGUAGAUAUCUGGAAGAACACCAGUAGCGAAGGCGGCUUUCUGGGCUGACACUGACGCUGAAGCGCGAAGGCUUGGGGUAGCAAACA